UACGUAGGGCGCAAGCGUUGUCCGGAAUUAUUGGGCGUAAAGAGCGUGUAGGCGGCCAGGUAGGUCGGUUGUGAAAACUGGAGGCUCAACCUUCAGAGGUCGACCGAAACCAUCUGGCUAGAGUCCGGGAGAGGAGAGUGGAAUUCCUGGUGUAGCGGUGAAAUGCGCAGAUAUCAGGAAGAACACCCGUGGCGAAAGCGGCUCUCUGGAACGGUACUGACGCUGAGGAGCGAAAGCGUGGGGAGCGAACAGG
rnacentral:rRNA from 1 species